rnacentral:tRNA from 1 species
GGGAGAGUAAACCGUAACUGGUAGCGGGCAAAACUGUAAAUUUUGUUCCUUCGGGAUCUGGGAGUUCGAGUCUCUCCUCUCCCA